rnacentral:lncRNA from 1 species
GGUAUAUCCAAGGGGGGAAGGGUGUACAUUCCCUCCGAUUACCUGAAAUAAUAAUUAUAUCAUGUUUUUCAGGAUUAAUAUGAUUUUUUAGCAUAAAAUCGUCCGAAAAUAUUUUCCUCCCAUUAACCUCUGAGGUAUUUUAUCCAUUUUAUGGAAUAACCCCCCCCCCCCUUUCCAACAUUCCUGUUCCAUAGCUCAAUGUAUUCUAAGUCGG